rnacentral:rRNA from 1 species
GAUUCGCUAGUAAUCGCGCAUCAGCCAUGGCGCGGUGAAUACGUUCCCGGGCCUUGUACACACCGCCCGUCAAGCCAUGGAAGCCGGGGGCGCUUGAAGUGCGUUGCCGCAAGGCGCGCCCUAGAGCGAAACCGGUGACUGGGGCUAAGUCGUAACAAGGUACC